GUGUCAGCAGCCGCGGUAAUACGUAGGGAGCGAGCGUUGUCCGAAGUUACUGGGCGUAAAGCGCGCGUAGGCGGGUUUGAAAGUCGGAGGUGAAAGGCUGGGGCUCAACCCCAUGCAGUGCCUCCGAUACUUCAAGUCUUGAGUGCGGUAGGGAGAAGUGGAAUGGCUGGUGUAGCGGUGAAAUGCGUAGAUAUCAGUCGGAACACCGGUGGCGAAGGCGGCUUCUUGGGCCGUUACUGACGCUGAGGCGCGAAAGCCAGGGGAGCGAACGGGAUUAGAAACCCCCGUAGUCC
rnacentral:rRNA from 1 species